AUUGAACGCUGGCGGCAGGCCUAACACAUGCAAGUCGAACGAGUGGCGGACGGGUGAGUAAUGUCUGGGAAACUGCCUGAUGGAGGGGGAUAACUACUGGAAACGGUAGCUAAUACCGCAUACCAUCGGAUGUGCCCAGAUGGGAUUAGCUAGUAGGGGGGGUAAAGGCUCACCUAGGCGAUGAUCCCUAGCUGGUCUGAGAGGAUGACCGGCAACACUGGAAAUGAGACACGGCCCAGAUUCCUACGGGAGGCAGCAGUGGGGAAUAUUGCAAAAUGGGCGAAAGCCGGAUGCAGCCAUGCCGCGGGUAUGAAGAAGGCCUUCGGGUUGUAAAGUACUUUCAGCGGGGAGGCGUUAUCCGAAGAAGAAGCACCGGCUAACUCCGUGCCAGCAGCCGCGGUAAUUC
rnacentral:rRNA from 1 species